AUUGAACGCUGGCGGCAGGCCUAACACAUGCAAGUCGAGCGGCAGCGGGAAAGUAGCUUACUACUUUUGCCGGCGAGCGGCGGACGGGUGAGUAAUGCCUGGGGAUCUGCCCAGUCGAGGGGGAUAACUACUGGAAACGGUAGCUAAUACCGCAUACGCCCUACGGGGGAAAGCAGGGGACCUUCGGGCCUUGCGCGAUUGGAUGAACCCAGGUGGGAUUAGCUAGUUGGUGAGGUAAUGGCUCACCAAGGCGACGAGCCCUAGCUGGUCUGAGAGGAUGAUCAGCCACACUGGAACUGAGACACGGUCCAGACUCCUACGGGAGGCAGCAGUGGGGAAUAUUGCGCAAUGGGGGAAACCCUGAUGCAGCCAUGCCGCGUGUGUGAAGAAGGCCUUCGGGUUGUAAAGCACUUUCAGCGAGGAGGAAAGGUUGGUAGCUAAUAACUGCCAGCUGUGACGUUACUCGCAGAAGAAGCACCGGCUAACUCCGUGCCAGCCGCCGCGGUAAUAC
rnacentral:rRNA from 1 species